UUCAUAUAAAGUAAAGUUAAAUGCAUCGGUUUUGAAACAUAAAUAUGAAUUGUAAUUGUUUUCAAAAAGUCCAACUAUAUUAGUUCAUCUGAAAACGAAAGUGCUUGAGUUGUUUUUUAUUGUUGUUCUAGAUUCUCAGUUUUUUUUUAAUUUAUAUAUUCUUGUUCUUUUGGUUAUAUAUUUAGUUUGUGAUACGAGGAAAUUUUAGAAAAUUUAUUUCUUACAUUAAAAAUAUAACAUGUCUUUAUUAACCAUGUCUCUGCAUAUCCAUUCUAAUCAUAUUCAACUUGAUGUUCUUGGAAAGUUUAGUUAAUUUCUUGUCAUAAUCUUAUAUCUUACGUAUUAGUUAUAAGGAUAGCUCCUCAAACAUCUUUCAAAUUACUUGUUUUCUUAGCAUAAAUCUCGAAAAGCUUAGAUAUAUUUAAUCUGCAUAUUCAUUUAGUUUCUUUCAUAAUAAUCGUUUAAUUUUUAGGUAAGGAAUAUGUGUAACAUGUUUGGAUCUCAAAAUUAAAGAGGAUAUAUUGAAUUAAAAAAAUGUAGAAAGAGUGAUGAUUCAAGUUCUGAUUAAUUAUAUCCUCAUAUUUUAGUUAUUAUGUUGAAUUAAUUACUAAUUAUGUAUUAUUUAUUUUAUGAAGUUUAGGUGGCAAGCUCUCAUUGCUGAUGUGUCAAGUUGUGGGAGAGAGUUGGCCAACUUUCAUAUAUAUGAUUUAAAUUUCAAAAAACAGAUUGACUAGAUAAAUUUUAACGUACGAUGUUUAUUUAUUUAUCAAGAGGUUAAAAAAUUCACAUUAAU
rnacentral:sRNA from 1 species